rnacentral:rRNA from 1 species
GACGAACGCUGGCGGCGUGCUUAACACAUGCAAGUCGAACGGAAAGGCCUCAGCUUGCUGGGGUACUCGAGUGGCGAACGGGUGAGUAACACGUGGGUGAUCUGCCUUGCACUCUGGGAUAAGCUUGGGAAACUGGGUCUAAUACCGGAUAUGAACUGCCUUUAGUGUGGUGGUUUGAAAGUUUUUUCGGUGCAAGAUGAGCUCGCGGCCUAUCAGCUUGUUGGUGGGGUAAUGGCCUACCAAGGCGUCGACGGGUAGCCGGCCUGAGAGGGUGUACGGCCACAUUGGGACUGAGAUACGGCCCAGACUCCUACGGGAGGCAGCAGUGGGGAAUAUUGCACAAUGGGCGGAAGCCUGAUGCAGCGACGCCGCGUGGGGGAUGACGGCCUUCGGGUUGUAAACUCCUUUCGACAGGGACGAAGCUUUUUGUGACGGUACCUGUAUAAGAAGCACCGGCUAACUACGUG